AAUUUCUAGUAUGAGAAAUUAAUGAUUUAAGUCCUUCUUAAAUGAGGCCAUUUACCCAAAGAGGGUGCCAGGCCCGUAUAACAUUAAUGAUUACUAGAUGGCAUUUCCAAAGAGUCGUGUUGCUUGAUAGUGCAGCACUAAGUGGGUGGUAAACUCCAUCUAAAACUAAAUAUAACCAUGAGACCGAUAGUAAACAAGUACCGUGAGGGAAAGUUGAAAAGAACUCUGAAUAGAGAGUUAAAUAGUACGUGAAACUGCUUAGAGGUUAAGCCCGAUGAACCUGAAUAUCCUUUAUGGAAAAUUCAUCAUUAAGAUUUUAAUAUUAAUAAUAUUAAAAUAAUGGUGUGCAUUUUUUCCAUAUAUGGACAUUGUAAUCUAUUAACAUACAUAAAUUUAUCAUAAGAUCAUUUGCAAAAGUUUAUUCAAAUUAUUUUGCUUGCAAUUUAACAUAGAAUAAAUGCUUAUGAUUUGAUAAAGUGUUGAUAGAUAUAUUAUAUAUAGUGCUUGAAUAUUUAUAUUCUAUAAUGGCAUAUUGAUCAUUGAUCUUUGUGUUUAUUAUAUGCACUUAUAUGAUUAACAAUGCGAAAGAUUCAGGAUACCUUCGGGACCCGUCUUGAAACACGGACCAAGGAGUCUAACAUAUUUGCAAGUUAUUGGGAAUAAAAAACCUAAUAGCGAAAUUAACAUAACUUAUAUAAUGGGAUUAGUUUUUAGUACUAUUUAUAGUCUAUUAAUUCAAUCCCGGGGCGUUCUAUACAGUUAUGUAUAAUAGUACUUGUACUAUUUAUACCUCUAACUAGAGCGUACCUUGAGCAUAUAUGCUGUGACCCGAAAGAUGGUGAACUAUACUUGAUCAGGUUGAAGUCAGGGGAAACCCUG
rnacentral:rRNA from 1 species